CCGGUAAACGGCGGCCGUAACUAUAACGGUCCUAAGGUAGCGAAAUUCCUUGUCGGGUAAGUUCCGACCUGCACGAAUGGCGUAAUGAUGGCCAGGCUGUCUCCACCCGAGACUCAGUGAAAUUGAACUCGCUGUGAAGAUGCAGUGUACCCGCGGCAAGACGGAAAGACCCCGUGAACCUUUACUAUAGCUUGACACUGAACAUUGAGCCUUGAUGUGUAGGAUAGGUGGGAGGCUUUGAAGUGUGGACGCCAGUCUGCAUGGAGCCGACCUUGAAAUACCACCCUUUAAUGUUUGAUGUUCUAACGUUGACCCGUGAUCCGGGUUGCGGACAGUGUCUGGUGGGUAGUUUGACUGGGGCGGUCUCCUCCUAAAGAGUAACGGAGGAGCACGAAGGUUGGCUAAUCCUGGUCGGACAUCAGGAGGUUAGUGCAAUGGCAUAAGCCAGCUUGACUGCGAGCGUGACGGCGCGAGCAGGUGCGAAAGCAGGUCAUAGUGAUCCGGUGGUUCUGAAUGGAAGGGCCAUCGCUCAACGGAUAAAAGGUACUCCGGGGAUAACAGGCUGAUACCGCCCAAGAGUUCAUAUCGACGGCGGUGUUUGGCACCUCGAUGUCGGCUCAUCACAUCCUGGGGCUGAAGUAGGUCCCAAGGGUAUGGCUGUUCGCCAUUUAAAGUGGUACGCGAGCUGGGUUUAGAACGUCGUGAGACAGUUCGGUCCCUAUCUGCCGUGGGCGCUGGAGAACUGAGGGGGGCUGCUCCUAGUACGAGAGGACCGGAGUGGACGCAUCACUGGUGUUCGGGUUGUCAUGCCAAUGGCACUGCCCGGUAGCUAAAUGCGGAAGAGAUAAGUGCUGAAAGCAUCUAAGCACGAAACUUGCCCCGAGAUGAGUUCUCCCUGACUCCUUGAGAGUCCUGAAGGAACGUUGAAGACGACGACGUUGAUAGGCCGGGUGUGUAAGCGCAGCGAUGCGUUGAGCUAACCGGUACUAAUGAACCGUGAGACUUAACCUUACAACGCCGAAGGUGUUU
rnacentral:rRNA from 1 species